rnacentral:rRNA from 1 species
AUUGAACGCUGGCGGCAGGCUUAACACAUGCAAGUCGAGCGGGGUGAUGGUGCUUGCACUAUCACUUAGCGGCGGACGGGUGAGUAAUGCUUAGGAAUCUGCCUAUUAGUGGGGGACAACAUCUCGAAAGGGAUGCUAAUACCGCAUACGUCCUACGGGAGAAAGCAGGGGAUCACUUGUGACCUUGCGCUAAUAGAUGAGCCUAAGUCGGAUUAGCUAGUUGGUGGGGUAAAGGCCUACCAAGGCGACGAUCUGUAGCGGGUCUGAGAGGAUGACCCGCCACAAGGGGACUGAGACACGGCCCAGACUCGUACGGGAGGCAGCAGGGGGAAAUAUGGGAAAAGGGGGGGAACCCUGAUCCAGCCGUGCCGGGUGUGUGAAGAAGGCUUUAUGGUUGUAAAGCACUUUAAGGGAGGGGGAGGCUCUUUUGGUUAAUACCCAGGAGGAGUGAAGGUUACUGGCAGAAUAAGCACCGGCUAACUCGGUGCCAGCAGCCGCCGUAA